GGGUGAUUAGCUCAGUUGGUAGAGCAGCUGACUCUUAAUCAGCGGGUCGGUGGUUCGAACCCACCAUCACCCA
rnacentral:tRNA from 1 species